GAAAAAAACAACAACUGUGGACAAAAUCUCUACAAAGACCCAAGACCCAAGUGCAUAUGUCCUCAGUGGUGGUCAAUGCUGUGAAGUCCUGCAAGUGGCUGACAAGGAACAAAGAGUGCUUUGCCGUGUUUACAGUAAACCUGAGCCACUGUUCGACAACCCAUGCAUGUCAUUUUUGAUUGGUGCCUACAAAUACAAAAAAAACACAACACCAUUUCAUGGAUUUCAAAAACAGAACUCACAAAACAUGCAAUUAAGAUUAGCACAGAAGAGAGAAGUGAGAUUUUUCUGUCAGUGCUCCAUGAAUUUUAAUCAAAGAAUGUAUGCAAUUGUAGAAUUUUCAGAGGAGGGAACAUGUGAAAUGGUGCCAGACAUCUGGUUGUUUAUGAAAGAUGAGGUACAAUACUGUUACUGGCCACCACUGAACGCAACUAAAAAAAUACAAAAGCUUGAACUGCCCGAUAAAGAAAAUUGGGCCAAGCACAGGGUCAGGGUGUUUGCUAAAACAGAUGACUAUGAAAGAGCAAAAAAGUGGUCGAAAAAAGCAGCUGUGCAAUCUUCACUUGAGAGCUGUGAUGACACCCCCAAAAGGAAAAGACGACCGGUGUGUCUCAGCAGCUCUUAUGAAGAUAUUUCUGUACUACCUCGCCCCUAA
rnacentral:lncRNA from 1 species